UACAGAGGGUGCGAGCGUUAAUCGGAAUUACUGAGCGUAAAGCGCACGUAGGUGGCGACGUAAGUCGGGUGUGAAAGCCCCGGGCUCAACCUGGGAAUUGCAUUCGAGACUGCAUUGCUGGAGUACGGAAGAGGAGGGCGGAAUUCCCGGUGUAGCGGGGAAAUGCGUAGAUAUCGGGAGGAGCAUCAGUGGCGAAGGCGGCCCUCUGUUCCAGUACGGACACCCAAGUGAGAAUGGGAGCGGAGGAAUCAGG
rnacentral:rRNA from 1 species